AGAGAGAGACGCCUUACGCCGUUGACAGUGGAGAACAAAGCAAGCUAGGUGAUGGCAGAGAGAGGGUUUGAAAGGGAGCAACGAUUUUGACCCGAAAUCCAUAAACCGGGAGACCCAAAUCCUCUCUUUCAUUGUUAGCCGUUGGAUCGGUUUUAGCCACGUGUCAGCAGCCUAAGCCGUCUCCGCCGGUCUCCGCCACAGAUCGUCUCCACAGACGAUUUUUUCCCCUCAAAACCCAAUUGUCCUCUCCUCUUUUCAGUUCCCACCGUCACUGCAACUCCUCUGCUGCAGGACUAACAACAGGUGUUCAGGAGAAGAAGGGUUUUUGCACAGUGACAGAGUUCCUCUCUGUGCAACAGUGAAGAAGCACCAAAGGGUUCUUAAUAGGAAAUCGAGUCUUUUUGCUGGUUAAAAAUUGUCAUCAGAACUCGUGGAAGGGGCUUUUGACACUCAACUCAUAGCUCUUUCUCCAAGUUCAGAUACAAAUUCACACUCAUAAUAUGCAUUGAUGUAUUAUCUGUCAUUUUGGUUUUCCUCAAUUGUGAGUUUUUUUU